rnacentral:rRNA from 1 species
AAUAUUUACAACCGUACCUAGAUACUACCACAAGUAAGCAAGUAGAGUAUACAAAGGCGUUUGAGUUAACAAUCAUUAAGGAACUCGGCAAAAUGACACCGUAACUUAGGGAUAAGGUGUGCCAUUCUUUUUAAGUAAUAUUAAGUUAAGAAUAGGAGGCAUAGAGUGGUGUUGUACGACUGUUUAAUUAAAACAAAGCACUUUGCAUAAGAUGACAAAUCAAAGUAUUGAGUGUGAAUUCUGCCCGAUGUUGGCUGGUUAACGGAUUUUCUUAGCCGACUAAAAUAAGCUAGGUUUUGAAGGAAACCCCAAUCAAUGGCGGCCUUAACGAUAAGGGUCCUAAGGUAGCGGAAUACCUUGGCCGUUAAAUGCGGUCUUGCAUGAAUGAUUUAACGAUACAACAGCUGUCUCAAUGAUUGGCUCAGUGAAAUUGGAAUAACUGUGCAGAUACAGUUUACCUCUAGUUAGACGAGAAGACCCUAUGCAGCUUUACUGUUUGUAGUUAUUGGAUACAAUGGAACAAGUUGUAGCGUAUAAGGUAGUUGAU